UACGUAGGGUGCGAGCGUUGCCCGGAUUUAUUGGGCGUAAAGGGCGCGUAGGCGGCUCAUGAAGGCUGUGGUGAAAGUCCGGGGCUCAACCUCGGAUCGGCCGUGGCGACCCGUGGGCUGGAGCACUGUAGAGGCGGGUGGAAUUCCGGGUGUAGCGGUGGAAUGCGUAGAGAUCCGGAAGAACACCAGUGGCGAAGGCGGCCCGCUGGGCAGUGGCUGACGCUGAGGCGCGACAGCGUGGGGAGCAAACAGG
rnacentral:rRNA from 1 species